UACGUAGGUGGCAAGCGUUGUCCGGAAUUAUUGGGCGUAAAGCGCGCGCAGGCGGUCUUUUAAGUCUGAUGUGAAAUCUUGCGGCUCAACCGUAAGCGGUCAUUGGAAACUGAAAGACUUGAGUGCAGAAGAGGAGAGUGGAAUUCCACGUGUAGCGGUGAAAUGCGCAGAUAUCAGGAAGAACACCCGUGGCGAGGGCGGUUCUCUGGGACGGUACUGACGCUGAGACGCGAAAGCGUGGGGAGCGAACAGG
rnacentral:rRNA from 1 species